AAAGAUUUUUACUAUUAUCACGUCGUCCAUCUAAAAAAAAAGGAUGGAAAGGUUCGAUAGCAUGUAGCCCAUGGUCCAAUUAAAGUAAUCUAUCAUUAUUGCUACUCCUAAGGAUAGAGUCUAAUUAGUAAUUAAGAGCAAGAUAAAGUAAAGAUAAUUAAGAAUAAAUUGGAUUGAUUGAUGUGUUGAAGAGUUAUCUUUUUUGGAUUACUUUGUAA
rnacentral:lncRNA from 1 species